CUGGGCUCGAACGGCUUCCCAACGGCUGUGGAAACACAGCUACUCCGCAAGGGGGUGGAGUCGAGGUGCUGCAUGGCUGUCGUCAGCUCGUGUCGUGAGAUGUUGGGUUAAGUCCCGCAACGAGCGCAACCCUUGUCCUGUGUUGCUAACCGAAAGGUGCACUCUCAGGAGACCGCCAGCGAUAAGUUGGAGGAAGGUGGGGAUGACGUCAAGUCCUCAUGGCCUUUAUGUCCAGGGCUACACACGUGCUACAAUGGGCGGUACAAAGCGCAGCAAACCCGCGAGGGGGAGCUAAUCGCAAAAAACCGUCCUCAGUUCGGAUUGCAGGCUGCAACUCGCCUGCAUGAAGCUGGAAUCGCUAGUAAUGGCGUAUCAGAAUGACGCCGUGAAUACGUUCCC
rnacentral:rRNA from 1 species